UCAGGAUGGUUUGUACGAGGUUAGAGCCCUAGCUAGCUGAACCAAUAGUGAGAAGUGAAAACUAGGAAUUGAAGCGCAAACACGGAUUUCCUGUGGGAUAAACGCACAGGCCUGGCUGAUAUAACGAUGCCACACUCGAGACGGUACCCAUCCUCAGAAAGGGCCAGCCGGAGCAGUUAUCAAGACCGGGACAGAGACAGAGGACGCAAGCAGAGGCACCGCAGAUCGCCCUCUUUUUCCUCUAGCAGUGACAGGGAGAGGGAUCGGGACAGAGACAGAAGGGGACGGGGAAACCGACAGGAGGGAAGCUACGCUCGCUCCAGGAGCUACGAUAAUCGCUCGGCAGACCGCAGGCCAUACGACCGGCGCUACUGUGAGGGCUACCGCCGCCUGGACCAGAGCCACGAACGAGACCGCGGAAACCGGGAAAGGGAACAUGGAGGUGCUCCAGCAGCAGCCGACGGCGGUUACUACGCACGUGACUUCUCACCGAGCAUGUGCGACUACCGGAGGGGGCGCGAGAGGGAACGGGAGGAGUCGUACCGAAGGAAGGGCAGCAGGCGUAAGCACAAACGAAGGCGGCGUAGAACCAGGUCCUAUAGCCCAUCCUCCUCGCGGAGUGACAGCCGGACGCGGGCACUGAGUGUGAGGGACGACGAGGAAGGGCACCUGAUCUGUCGGAGUGGGGACGUCCUGCAAGAGAGAUAUGAGAUUGUCAGCACUCUGGGGGGAAGGCACCUUUGGGAGGGUGAUGCAAUGUAUUGACCAUUGUCGGGGAGGGGCCGCUGUUGCUCUGAAGAUCAUAAAAAAUGUGGAGAAAUACAAGGAAGCAGCUCGUCUGGAGAUCAAUGUGCUGGAGAGAAUCAAUGAGAAAGAUCCGGAAAACAAACACCUGUGUGUGCAGAUGUAUGACUGGUUCGACUACCACGGCCACAUGUGUAUCUCCUUCGAGCUGCUGGCCCUCAGCACCUUCGACUUCCUCAAGGAGAACAACUACCUGCCCUAUUCCAUUGCCCAGGUCCGACACAUGGCCUACCAGCUAUGCCUGUCCGUCAAGUUUCUUCAUGAUACCAAGUUGACGCACACAGACCUGAAGCCAGAAAACAUCCUGUUUGUCAAUUCCGACUUCACUAUGACCUAUAAUGUAGAGAAGAAGCGCGACGAGCGGACAGUGAAGAGCACGGACGUACGGGUGGUGGACUUUGGCAGCGCCACAUUUGACCACGAGCACCACAGCACCAUCGUCUCCACACGGCACUACCGUUCCCCGGAAGUCAUACUAGAGCUGGGCUGGAGCCAGCCGUGUGAUGUGUGGAGCAUCGGUUGCAUCCUGUUCGAGUACUACCUGGGCUUCACCUUGUUCCAGACUCAUGAUAACAGGGAGCAUCUGGCCAUGAUGGAGAGAAUACUGGGGCCGGUGCCCUCCAGGAUGAUACGCAAGACAAGGAAGCAGAAAUAUUUUUACCGUGGCCGUCUGGACUGGGACGAGAGCUCGUCAGCUGGGAGAUACGUGAGGGAGAACUGCAAACCCUUACGGAGGUACCUGUUGUCGGAAGCCGAGGAGCACCAUCGGUUGUUUGACCUGAUUGAGAGCAUGCUGGAAUACGAGCCCGCUAAACGCCUGGCCCUGGCAGACUCCCUCAGACACCCUUUCUUCGAAUCGGGGACAGCAGGCGAUGCGGUGGGGGGGAAGAGCUGGGAGGGCAACCGCGACAUCAGCCGGUGACCCGGGACCUCCACAGACUCUUAACAAUAGAGCGAUUUUUCAGGUGGAGCAGACCGAUACGACCACUUAAGGCGGUACGGCCAAAUUUGAUGGACCUUAUCAGUCUGUCUGAAAUCCCUUGGCCAUUCAUCACAGCAUGGACCCGUUUCCUCCUGCUUUCUGUACUGCCCCCACCCAUCUCCACAAUUAGGAGAGAGGCUCAUGCUGGCAGCUAGAAAACCAGAAGGACUUCAGAAAAAGACAGCCCUCCUUUUAGUCCUCUCGGCUUCUGCUCCAACAGAAGGCAUAUGACCAAGAGGGGAGUUUUUAGCCCAACCUUAGAUUACCCAGCUCCAGUCUUCCGCAUGUAAAGGAAAGGACCGGCCUUGGGUAGUGGAACACUAGUGAGAGCAAGAGAAGCCUUGCUCUGAAAGCCAAUAUCGUGACCUCUUCAUUUGAGGUGAAACGCUUGGAGAAGAGGGGCACUGUCUUGUAUUUAUUUGGAAACUCAGCUAUCAAUCUUGGCUAAUGUUAGCCAAUCGACUGGCACGUUUUGUCAAUGAGUGAUUGCCACUCCACAUUUAUUGCUUAUAUAGGCCUCUCCUAUUGAUAUAAUAUAUCUACUGUAUCUCUGUUACGUUAUGCAAUGCUUCUGAGGAGAGGGAUUGAUGCCAUAUUAAUGUAAUAAUAGUAGUCACAACUGGACAUGUUUUCUCAGCUGGUCUUCAUCUAGUCUGGGGAAAUGACAGACACUCACAAAUCAGACCCCAUACAACACAAACUGCAAACUGCCUUUGACAUGUGUGAUAGUAUCAGGCCUGUGGUCUGAGAUGAAGCACACACAGGGUCAUAAUAGUAACGUAUGCCACAGGCACACAGCAGCACACGGUUUACAGUAUUUAUUAUGAGACGCUACCGCUGUUCAUCUCCUCCCUGUACAUUUGUUUUUUUGUAUAAGAUUUAAAUUUAUAAAACUACGUAUGAUUGUCGAAUUAAAGUUAAGUCCUCCUUUGCCAAGGCUUGUAGCGCCAUGGGGAGGCGUUUUUCUCUUAAA